AUUUGUCUCUGGAUUUUUUUUUUUGAGCUCUGCACAUAUCAGAACACUAGAAGAGGAACGAGGAGAGAGAAGGUCGAAUCCAAGUGAAAGCAUGAGACUACCAUUGUUGAAUCCUGGAGGUUUUCUCUGCUCCAAAUCAGAGCCUCUUUGUCAGAGGAGACAUCUUCACCUGUUAAUGCUGAAGAGUGAUUAACAGACCUAAAGGAGAAGUUUCCGAAGAUCAUGGAGCUGGUGGGACUUGGAUAUACUGGACGGUUUGUCAACCGAUACCUUCUCUUCAAGUUAUUUGCCGAAAGCAGUCUACUUGCAGCAUCUAAUGGGUGUAGAAGGUGUGAUUGUUGAUUUGGUUCAGGAAAUCAUGGGCUGUUACCAAUAUGAUUAAGCCAUCAGAGGUGGACGAAGGGGAGAUAAUUAGAGGGGUUGGAGCAGAUUCAAGUUGAACCCAACCCCCACUACUCACAAAGGAAGCUGUCAUUUCUGUGGAAAUUGAUACCAGAAUUAAUACCUCCUCUAUAAGAAAACCUCUUAUAGUCGGAGUCCUGAGUUGUUGGAUGGGAACCUCGAUCAAGUAAUGUUCUGGGAAAAGAAUGGAAACCUCUUAUAUCAAUUACUGUUAUUUGUAUUUGACGUAUUUUAAAUUUGAAUCGAAACUUUUGGUGGUUAUGAGAUUUAA